UUCCCCCUCCGUCCCCCACCCCGAGGCAAUAGUCAUCUUCCCUAUUUACCUUCUUGCUCCUGCCUGGAAUCUGGACCUGUUUUCGGCGGCCUCCCCCGGCUCUCAAGACGAGUCCGACGACUUUGGCAGGAAGUGGGAGUUUUUCUUCCUCGCAGGCUCGCUCCAGCACCACUCUAGGACUGGCAACUCGCUCUCCCAUUCGAACAGUCGCAGCUGCUGCUUCGGUAGCUUGAAUUGCAACGUUCUUUCCCAGGGUUUCAAGACGGCGAGCUUCAGUUCUUUUGCUGGGGAGCUUGGGGGGAGGUGGCAGGUGGUUGCAAAGGGAACGGGGGGCCAGGAAUCAGGGUGGGGGGAUGUAAGAAGAAAAACAAACCGUCCUGCAUUGCUUUCUGCAAGAUGACAACCUGCUUGCAAAUAGGAGGGUGUUAGAAGGAAAUUUUAUGGGCGGGCUGUGAGGGGGACUUUGCGUGCUUCCCGUCAUGUUGCGUGCCCUCUUUUGGGGCAGAGAGAAAUUAAGAUCCCCCUCCCUGCAGGAAAAUGCAGGGAAUUUACAUAGGGAGGGGGUGCCAAUCCCGGUUGGAGCCACAGGAUUUCCAAAGCGACCCUCCCCCGGAGCCCCUCCCACCCACAGCUCCUGUUUGAUGCUGCUAGGUUCUGGUGAUGCGGCUUGGCUUGGCUGUGCCUCAGGGAGACGCUGGAGGAGCCCCAGGAAAGAUUUCCAGCCCUGUUUGGCACCUGAAGGGAUUCCUUGCUCUCUGCGAUGGGCCAGGAGUCCCUCGCACUCUCACCUCUGCCGGCAAAUUCUCUGCUCAGUCACCUUCCGCUUCCCAGUUCAAGGAAAGUGAUGGGAGAUAGGACGGCGNAGCACUAGCGGCCUUGGUCAACGGGGAACCAGAAUGCCCAGCUGCCUCUUUUCUUCUUCUACCUCUUCAGCCCCUGUUCUUGGUUAAAGGGGAACCAGAAACCCCUAUUUGCCAUUCUUUUUCUGCCUCUAUGUUGAGGCUCAGCAAAGCAAAUUCCC
rnacentral:lncRNA from 1 species